rnacentral:rRNA from 1 species
AGAUUAAGUUAUUAAGGGCGCACGGUGGAUGCCUUGGCACUAGAAGCCGAUGAAGGACGUUACUAACGACGAUAUGCUUUGGGGAGCUGUAAGUAAGCUUUGAUCCAGAGAUUUCCGAAUGGGGAAACCCAGCAUGAGUUAUGUCAUGUUAUCGAUAUGUGAAUACAUAGCAUAUCAGAAGGCACACCCGGAGAACUGAAACAUCUUAGUACCCGGAGGAAGAGAAAGAAAAUUCGAUUCCCUUAGUAGCGGCGAGCGAAACGGGAAGAGCCCAAACCAACAAGCUUGCUUGUUGGGGUUGUAGGACACUCUAUACGGAGUUACAAAGGACGACAUUAGACGAAUCAUCUGGAAAGAUGAAUCAAAGAAGGUAAUAAUCCUGUAGUCGAAAAUGUUGUCUCUCUUGAGUGGAUCCUGAGUACGACGGAACACGUGAAAUUCCGUCGGAAUCUGGGAGGACCAUCUCCUAAGGCUAAAUACUCUCUAGUGACCGAUAGUGAACCAGUACCGUGAGGGAAAGGUGAAAAGCACCCCGGAAGGGGAGUGAAAUAGAACCUGAAACCGUGUGCUUACAAGUAGUCAGAGCCCGUUAAUGGGUGAUGGCGUGCCUUUUGUAGAAUGAACCGGCGAGUUACGAUUUGAUGCAAGGUUAAGCAGUAAAUGUGGAGCCGUAGCGAAAGCGAGUCUGAAUAGGGCGUUUAGUAUUUGGUCGUAGACCCGAAACCAGGUGAUCUACCCUUGGUCAGGUUGAAGUUCAGGUAACACUGAAUGGAGGACCGAACCGACUUACGUUGAAAAGUGAGCGGAUGAACUGAGGGUAGCGGAGAAAUUCCAAUCGAACCUGG